GUGGUUGUCAGCAUUAGCAAUAGGUCUUUUUGUUAAUCUCUGGGAUUCUUCUGUUUCAGAUGUGGAUACGUUAUCAACAUCUGAUGAGGUAGCUGUUGUCAAAGAAGAUACGGAAGAUACCAGAUCCAUCUUAGCUUUCUUAGCUUGUGGUUUGAUUUUGACAAUCAUUCCCAAUGGAUUAGCUGGAGGAUUCUUCCUCUUA
rnacentral:misc_RNA from 1 species